UACAGAGGGUGCGAGCGUUGUCCGGAAUCACUGGGCGUAAAGGGCGCGUAGGUGGCUGGGUAAGUGUGCGGUGAAAGCCCGGGGCUCAACCCCGGGUCGGCCGUGCAGACUGCUUGGCUUGAGCAUAGUAGAGGCAGGUGGAAUUCCGGGUGUAGCGGUGGAAUGCGUAGAGAUCCGGAAGAACACCGGUGGCGAAGGCGGCCUGCUGGGCUAUUGCUGACGCUGAUGCGCGACAGCGUGGGGAGCAAACAGG
rnacentral:rRNA from 1 species